rnacentral:lncRNA from 1 species
CAACUGAAUCAAUGAAGACUGAAAUCAUUAAACUAAAACUUAGAAAGACAAUAAAUAGGAGUAUUCUAUAUUAUAUUCUUAAAGAUGCCACACGGUAACACUUAAAGUUACAUGUGAAGCAUAAUGUGAUAUGGUAUAUCUCAUGCUCAAUUCUAAGUAAGCUUUCACGGCACCUUGACUCUACCAAAUAUGAUCCCUGCAGUUUGCUGGAUUAUGCCUUCAGUAUCACUAUAAACUGAGCAACCUCGAAAGUAUUAAGCUUUGUUGAGAAUCAAAGAAAACCUAGUAUAACCUGAAAGAAACUGUUACGAAGAAGCAAAUGCCUCUCCAGUACCAGUACUAUUGCAAGUAUUGCACUUUAUGCGGUUACUGAGAUAUAAAUCCUCUAAUAUGAAGUAACAUAUGCAUCAUAGAACAGCUAAAGCACUUAAAGACUUGGAUGACAAUAUUAGGUGACCGGUUACUACAGUUAGCUGAUGUAUGAAAGAGUAAAUUAAGUCAUAAUGAGUACAUAAAAUGUUUAGUAAGCAGUACAUAAAGAAUCAAACAAUCAAGUGCUUUUACAAUGCAAUCAAGUAUUUAGUAAGCAGCCCUCUUUGUGUUAAUCAGUACAUAAAGAAUCACACAAUCCCUUUUGCAAUGAACUGUCUAAGGAACUGUUAGAUCUGAUUCAAGCUAUGGAAAAUAGGUUAUUAGCUCAUUCAUAUUUUAUUGGGAGAGAAAAAAUAGCUCAUUCAUUAUUUAGAGGAGCACAAAUUGUUACCUUUGUUUUUAAAAGAGCUGCUAACUCUAAUUUGAUAGGCACCUAAUAGUAGAUCCCUUGCCUUUCCACGUUAUAAAUUAAUCAUCUAAACUCAUCCAGCAAUCUCUAAACUCUCAUAAGAAUCUAUUGUUCUUAACAGUAUAGCCUCACUGUAACAUAAAGUAACUCACUCUACUCACAUCGUAUAGCUAUCUAGUUUAAUCUUUCCAUGAGCUUUUACUUCCAUAGAAAAGUCACUUAAAUUGGAAUUUGUUUCUACAUGCUUAGUUGAACAGAUAAAAUGUUGGUGCUUUCUCAAAAAGAAGCUGGUCACUCUUUUUCAAAAGAAUGUCAUUCAUCUUGUGAUACAGCUUCUACAAUGCUCUUGGAGAAAUCUAACCAAUCAAGUUCCUUUUCUAGUCUUAAGAGGAAACAAUAACACAGUUGUGCCUAUGAAUUAGCAUCGAGGUUCAUAGAAGUAUGUAUUGUUUCUUUCUUUAAGCAACAAACGACAUAUAAAGGAGAAGUGGACCAACAAAGUAAAUAUGUUAAAGAAAGGAACAGAGCAAAAUAUCAGAAAUAAUGUUCUCCAGAAAUAGCCUGCACUACACCACUCCCAUCUGGUAUAAAGUUUUAAAGUUUACAGUUUAAUUAACAAAACACAACUAAAAAACUAUGAGACAGCUAAAAGCUAUGUGAAAAUUUAAACCAAUUAACUCAAGAUGACCACAGGUCCAUUGUUAUAUUACUGAUUUACUGGUAGUAGCCACUCUUCAGUUUACUCAUGAAUUUUUCUAAAGUAAUUCUUCGAGCUUUAAUUAAUCCACUUCAGAUUAUUUCCUACUUCUGCCCUUCCUCUACUUAUUGCUUUUACUUUACUGAACGUGAUGAAUAGGCAUUACUUUAUAAUUCUCAGUCUUUCUUCAAUGUCACUCAAAACAAUCUCCAGAGAUCAACGAAAUGUUAAGCACAAGAGCAUUUUAUUCAAUUACAAAUGAUCUAAAAAUAGAGCAUUUUAUUCAAUUAUAUAAGAAGUAUCACAGAGUUUAAAUGCAGCAACUUAUCCAAAGAAAAGAAUUAUAUGUGGAACAACUUACUCAUCACUUCUAGUUUCUGAAUCUGAUAUUUUAGUUGGUCAGGAUCCUUCUUCAAUAUACCCACUUCUGUCACUUUCUUCCUCUCUUUCUUGUUCUGGGAAAGAGCUCUUCCUUAGAACCAUCCUCAAUUUUCCUUUUGUUUCCAAUAGAUGUCCCAUAAGACUCAAAGCUUGUUUGUGCGUACGUAAAAAUGUAAAAUAUGCAAGUAAAAAUAAUAGGCUUCAAGGUUAUGUCCACAAAGCAUAUAAGCAAAAUAAUUAAUCUGAAAUUUCCUAAUUUUCUGUCGUAUCAUAUUAUAUAUGAUAUAAACAUAUAGCCAUUGCUAGAUAAUAGAUCUUUCCUAUCAAAGAGUUAAUCUCACAACUUCAGACGAAUCCUAUAAUAAGGAUGAAGUAUAUGAAGCCACUCAACAUUUAAGACAUUUAGAAUGAGGAUACAUGAGCAUAUAUCUAUAACAGUACAAGUGCAAGAAAAAGGUCAACUAACAUAAACUUAUAGCUACUUCUAUUUCUCAAAUUUCUCAUCAGUAGUAAAAUGUAAGAAAAAUCACAUGACCUCUUUUUAGGAAAAAAAACUCAAUAUUUAAGAAAGAGGGGUUAAAGGCGACAUUCAAAUCAGGGUAAAGCUUCAGGACACAAUUAACUAAAGUUCAUUUUCAACUCCUGUUUGAUACAAUAAUGCUUAAAAAGCUUUCAGCCACUUUUUUAUUUUUCAUUAUUUUGUUCCAAGUAAUGUAAUUCUAUACUAUUUAUAUGCGACAACAAAAUUACCUAACCUGUUUCACAACAAAGCAAUGAGCCCUCUUAUAACAGGAGAAUCCUGCUUCGUAAAAAUACUGCUAGACCAAGAAGAUGAUGCAUUAGCUGAGUCACGAAUAGCUAAAUUGUCAAGCAAACAACAUUUUUC